rnacentral:lncRNA from 1 species
GGUCAGAUGUCUUAGUAUUAACAACAGGGGCAAUCUCCAACCCUGGAUUGAGGUCCUCCCCUUCAGAUUCGGGGUCGCCUCCUUCAGACUCAAGGGCUCCCAUGUCCUCCCCAUCCGACUCGGAUUCUUCUUCAGAAGAUACAGCCGACGGACCUCCAACGCGACAGUCCCCUCUAGGCAUAGGGAAAUCAUCUUCUCCAUACAACACCGGCUCACCAUCAGAGUCCACUUCGGCCAUACGAAGCUUUGCCAGAGGAGUAUCAGGAGCAUGUCUAGCCUCUCUUAUACCGCGAUUGUAACCAGUUACAUACAUGCGGAAGGCUUUCUGAAGAACAGCAGCUUUCAUGUCUGCAGAGGCUUUAUAUUCGUCAAGAUGUG